GAAGGUUUAGCUCAGUGAUAGAGGGCAUGGCUAACAUACUUGAGGCUUUGGGUUCAAUCCCCAACACCCUCA
rnacentral:tRNA from 1 species